rnacentral:rRNA from 1 species
GUGGGGAAUAUUGGACAAUGGGGGGAACCCUGAUCCAGCCAUGCCGCGUGUGUGAAGAAGGCCUUUUGGUUGUAAAGCACUUUAAGCGAGGAGGAGGCUACCGAGAUUAAUACUCUUGGAUAGUGGACGUUACUCGCAGAAUAAGCACCGGCUAACUCUGUGCCAGCAGCCGCGGUAAUACAGAGGGUGCAAGCGUUAAUCGGAUUUAAUGGGCGUAAAGCGCGCGUAGGUGGCCAAUUAAGUCAAAUGUGAAAUCCCCGAGCUUAACUUGGGAAUUGCAUUCGAUACUGGUUGGCUAGAGUAUGGGAGAGGAUGGUAGAAUUCCAGGUGUAGCGGUGAAAUGCGUAGAGAUCUGGAGGAAUACCGAUGGCGAAGGCAGCCAUCUGGCCUAAUACUGACGCUGAGGUACGAAAGCAUGGGGAGCAAACAGGAUUAGAAACCCGGGUAGUCC